UUCCGGUCCCCUCGCGACGAAAAGCUGCGAACUCCGCCAGGCCCGGAAGGGAGCAACGG
rnacentral:SRP_RNA from 1 species